rnacentral:tRNA from 1 species
GGCAUGUAGCUCAGUGGUAGAGUGCUUGCCUAGCAUGCAUGAAGCCCUGGGUUCAAUUCCUAGUACCA